rnacentral:rRNA from 1 species
GACGAACGCUGGCGGCGUGCUUAACACAUGCCAGUCGAACGGAAAGGCCCUGCUUUUGUGGGGUGCUCGAGUGGCGAACGGGUGAGUAACACGUGAGUAACCUGCCCUUGACUUUGGGAUAACUUCAGGAAACUGGGGCUAAUACCGGAUAGGAGCUCCUGCUGCAUGGUGGGGGUUGGAAAGUUUCGGCGGUUGGGGAUGGACUCGCGGCUUAUCAGCUUGUUGGUGGGGUAGUGGCUUACCAAGGCUUUGACGGGUAGCCGGCCUGAGAGGGUGACCGGCCACAUUGGGACUGAGAUACGGCCCAGACUCCUACGGGAGGCAGCAGUGGGGAAUAUUGCACAAUGGGCGGAAGCCUGAUGCAGCAACGCCGCGUGCGGGAUGACGGCCGUCGGGUUGUAAACCGCUUUCGCCUGUGACGAAGCGUGAGUGACGGUAAUGGGUAAAGAAGCACCGGCUAACUACGUG